rnacentral:rRNA from 1 species
ACGCUGGCGGCGUGCCUAAUACAUGCAAGUCGAACGCCGGACACCUAGCUUGCUAGGGAGAAGGAGUGGCGAACGGGUGAGUAAUACAUAAGCAAUCUGCCCACAAAGACUGGGAUAACCUCUGGAAACGGGGACUAAUACCGGAUAGGUAGAAGAGAGGCAUCUUUCUUCUAUUAAAGAUGAGAAGCACUAGUGGAUGAGCUUAUGGCGCAUUAGUUAGUUGGUGAGGUAACGGCUCACCAAGACGAUGAUGCGUAGCCGGCCUGAGAGGGUGAACGGCCACAUUGGGACUGAGACACGGCCCAGACUCCUACGGGAGGCAGCAGUAGGGAAUUUUCGGCAAUGGGGGAACCCUGACCGAGCAACGCCGCGUGAGUGAAGACGGCCUUCGGGUUGUAAAGCUCUGUUGUAAGAAAAGAUAAACUAGGAGAGGAUCUUAGUCAGACAUUAUCUUACCAGAAAGCCACGGCUAACUACGUGCCAGCAGCCGCGGUAAUACGUAGGUGGCGAGCGUUAUCCGGAAUUAUUGGACGUAAAGGGUGCGUAGGCGGUCUGUUAAGUUCAUGGUCAAAUUGUGGGGCUCAACCCCAUCGCGCCAUGGAUACUGGCAGACUAGAGUAUUGGAGAGGCAAGUGGAAUUCCAUGUGUAGCGGUAAAAUGCGUAGAUAUAUGGAGGAACACCGGUGGCGAAGGCGACUUGCUAGCCAAAGACUGACGCUGAGGCACGAAAGCGUGGGGAGCAAAUAGGAUUAGAUACCCUAGUAGUCCACGCUGUAAACGAUGAAUACUAAGUAUUGGGGAGACUCAGUGCUGCAGCUAACGCAUUAAGUAUUCCGCCUGUGGAGUAUGCACGCAAGUGUGAAACAUAAAGGAAUUGACGGGGGCCCGCACAGCGGUGG